rnacentral:rRNA from 2 species
GUGGGUAGUUUGACUGGGGCGGUCUCCUCCCAAAGAGUAACGGAGGAGCACGAAGGUUGGCUAAUCCUGGUCGGACAUCAGGAGGUUAGUGCAAUGGCAUAAGCCAGCUUGACUGCGAGCGUGACGGCGCGAGCAGGUGCGAAAGCAGGUCAUAGUGAUCCGGUGGUUCUGAAUGGAAGGGCCAUCGCUCAACGGAUAAAAGGUACUCCGGGGAUAACAGGCUGAUACCGCCCAAGAGUUCAUAUCGACGGCGGUGUUUGGCACCUCGAUGUCGGCUCAUCACAUCCUGGGGCUGAAGUAGGUCCCAAGGGUAUGGCUGUUCGCCAUUUAAAGUGGUACGCGAGCUGGGUUUAGAACGUCGUGAGACAGUUCGGUCCCUAUCUGCCGUGGGCGCUGGAGAAUUGAGGGGGGCUGCUCCUAGUACGAGAGGACCGGAGUGGACGCAUCACUGGUGUUCGGGUUGUCAUGCCAAUGGCACUGCCCGGUAGCUAAAUGCGGAAGAGAUAAGUGCUGAAAGCAUCUAAGCACGAAACUUGCCCCGAGAUGAGUUCUCCCUGAGACUUUAAGUCUCCUGAAGGAACGUUGAAGACGACGACGUUGAUAGGUCGGGUGUGUAAGCGCAGCGAUGCGUUGAGCUAACCGAUACUAAUGAACCGUGAGGCUUAACCUU